GAUGAACGCUAGCGGCAGGCCUAACACAUGCAAGUCGAGGGGCAUCAUGGCGUAGCAAUACGCUGAUGGCGACCGGCGCACGGGUGCGUAACGCGUAUGGAACCUACCCACCGCAGGGGGAUAACCCGCCGAAAGGCGGACUAAUACCCCAUGGUUCCCCCGACCCUGCCUGGGGGUUGGGGGUAAAGCCUACGGGCGGCGGUGGAUGGCCCUGCGUGCCAUUAGCUGGCUGGUGGGGUAACGGCCCACCAGGGCGACGAUGGCUAGGGGGUCUGAGAGGACGAUCCCCCACACUGGAACUGAGACACGGUCCAGACUCCUACGGGAGGCAGCAGUGGGGAAUUUUGGACAAUGGGGGCAACCCUGAUCCAGCCAUGCCGCGUGAGUGAAGAAGGCCUUCGGGUUGUAAAGCUCUUUCGGCCGGGAAAAAUCGCAUCAGUUAAUACCCUGUGCGGAUGACGGUACCGGCAUAAGAAGCACCGGCUAACUACGUG
rnacentral:rRNA from 1 species